rnacentral:snoRNA from 1 species
AAACUAUGAUGAGGGCAUUUUCUUAAUAAAUCUUUAAAUCUUUCCCAAGCUUCAUAUAAGCUUUCUUGAUCAUGAUGAACAAA